UUCUUCUUUCUCAAUAGGAAAAGCGGGUCGUUAUAGAUAGCCUAUAAGAAACUCUCCCAAGUAGGUGGAUUAGGGAGAGAACCUGAUGCAGAACCUGAGCUCAACAAUAGAAUCCAAAAUCCCGCAUAUACAUUAGAAAUCAGAAACUCAAAACCCUCCUUACUUGACUCGCACUCAACAAGGGAGUGAAAACCAAGAUAACUGGAAAAGAAAUUAAGAACUAGAAUUGAAAAGGCACCAUGAUACUUACCUCGAUAAAUGAGCCAAAUUCCUAGCACAACAAAUCUGUCAAAAACUUACCCUUGCAAGCUAGGAAGCUUAAAACAAGAAUACCCGAAUUUUAUUAAUAAACUAAAAUUUCUUAAUCGAAUAACAACUUUCAAUUGAAAGCCUAUUUAUAGUGU
rnacentral:lncRNA from 1 species